CGACGUGGUCGGCAAGUUCGAGACGCUGGCGGAGGACGCGGCCUUUGUGCUGGGCCUGGUGGGCGCGCCGGGCCUGCGCUUCCCUGCGCCCCCGCCCCGGGCCAAGGCGGCCGCCGCCCGAGACCUGGCCGAGCGCCUCUUCCGGGACAUCAGCCCCUUCUACCAGCGGCGCCUCUUCGACCUCUACAGGAUGGACUUCUUGCUCUUCAACUACUCUGCCCCUUCCUACCUGCGGCUGCACUAGGCCGCGGAGCUUGCGCGGGGCCGUCACAUCGCCGAUGCCCAGAAGGCUCAGGUGGGGCCGGACAGUGUGCAUUUCUGGUGGCUACCCCCCACUCCCCGCAGCCCGAUGCUGAUGCUGCCCGCCCGGGACUCUACCCUGAGCUCCACUGCCCCGUGCUUCCCUGCUUGGCCAGCCCGCCUGGGCCUCCAUCCCACCGUGCCAGCGUUGCAGUGCUACAGUGACUAUCCCCACGUACAUCCUGUCCUGCGUGUGGGGCGUGAUCGCAGGAUACAUCCCUAGAAGACAGAGCCACACCCUGACCACACCGUUCACCGUGCCUGGUUCUCAGGAGGCUGCAAGCACCUGCUGAUGACUGGUUCUGCCCUGCGUGCUGGAAGAGCCCUGCCUGCCCUCCCCGCCUACUUCCUAAACUCGGGGGCCACAGCGAGAGUAGCGCACGAGGGGAGCCAGGGGAGCUUCUUUCUGUAAGCUGCUCGGGAAAGACAGACUGGUGCUGGCUGGCAUGCAGGGGCCUUCUGGCCAGUGACACCUCCCCGGGAAACAACGUGCGCCUGGAACAGGGCAGCAAUGCUCAGAGCAGCCGCAUCCACAACAGCAAAAACUGGAAAGCGAGUGUCUGUCGGAAAGAGGAUGGACAAGGCAUGCAGUAUUAUACGUGAUAACUAAAAGAUGAAAUGAGCCGUGUGCACCAUCACGUGACUCGUAGCAACUUGCUGCUGAGGCAAAAAAAGUUGCAUGGAGCGUAAUAACAUCCGAUAUGGCUAAUAAAAAAAAAGAGAG